rnacentral:rRNA from 1 species
UACGGGGGGGGCAAGCGUUGUUCGGAAUUACUGGGCGUAAAGGGCGCGUAGGCGGCCUGCUAAGUCGGAUGUGAAAUCCCUCGGCUCAGCCGAGGAACUGCAUCCGAUACUGGCGGGCUUGAAUCCGGGAGAGGGAUGUGGAAUUCCAGGUGUAGCGGUGAAAUGCGUAGAUAUCUGGAGGAACACCAAUAGCGAAGGCAGCUCGCUGGGACGUUACUGACACUGAGGCGCGAAAGCGUGGGGAGCGAACAGG